rnacentral:rRNA from 1 species
GACGAACGCUGGCGGCGUGCUUAACACAUGCAAGUCGAACGGAAAGGCCUCUUUCGGGGGGUACUCGAGUGGCGAACGGGUGAGUAACACGUGAGUAACCUGCCCUUGACUUUGGGAUAACUUCAGGAAACUGGGGCUAAUACCAGAUAGGAGCUCCUGCUGCAUGGUGGGGGUUGGAAAGUUUCGGCGGUUGGGGAUGGACUCGCGGCUUAUCAGCUUGUUGGUGGGGUAGUGGCUUACCAAGGCUUUGACGGGUAGCCGGCCUGAGAGGGUGACCGGCCACAUUGGGACUGAGAUACGGCCCAGACUCCUACGGGAGGCAGCAGUGGGGAAUAUUGCACAAUGGGUGGAAGCCUGAUGCAGCAACGCCGUGUGCGGGAUGACGGCCUUCGGGUUGUAAACCGCUUUCGCUCAUGACGAAGCUUUGUGUGACGGUAGUGGGUAAAGAAGCACCGGCUAACUACGUG